rnacentral:rRNA from 1 species
UACGGGGGGGGCAAGCGUUGUUCGGAAUUACUGGGCGUAAAGGGCUCGUAAGCGGCCAACUAAGUCGGAUGUGAAAUCCCCAGGCUCAACCUGGGAACUGCAUCCGAUACUGGAUGGCUUGAAUUCGGGAGAGGGAUGCAGAAUUCCAGGUGUAGCGGUGAAAUGCGUAGAUAUCUGGAGGAAUACCGGUGGCGAAGGCGGCAUCCUGGACCGACAUUGACGCUGAUGAGCGAAAGCUAGGGGAGCAAACGGG